GUUGUUUUGUAGAAGGUGCUGGGGUUUGAGAGAUCAGUCGGACACUAUUGGCAGGGAGAGCACGUGUGUUUUUAUGAGAAUUAUGCCGAGAUAGGUAACAGAUGAGGAAGAAAUUUGGGCUUGAUGGAAGUAAUGGGGGCUGUCUGUGAAGCUUUGCAGCAGUACAGCCUAGGUAAUUUGCUGAGCUUGAUGGGUGUCAGGGUCAGUCCAAGUGAAAGUGGAGAGAGGCUGGGAUGAAGGGUGCAAAGGAAUAGUAAAGAAAGCAUGUUUGACAUCUAGAACAGAAUAAUGGGUUAUAGAGGCAGGUAUUGAGGAUAGGAGAGGAUAUGGGUUUGGCACCAUAGGGUGGAUAGGCAAAACAAUUUGGUUGAUAAGGCACAGAUCCGGAACUAACUUGUAAGGCUUGUCUGGUUUUAGGACAGGUAAAAUGGGAGAAUUGUAAGGAGAGUUUAUAGGCUUUAAAAGGCCAUGCUGUAGCAGGAGAGUGAUAACAGGCUUUAAUCUUUUUAAAGCGUGCUGUGGGAUGGGAUAUUGGCGUUGAGUGGGGUAAGGGUGAUUAGGUUUUAAUGAGAUGGUAAGGGGUGCAUGAUCAGUCGCCAAGGAGGGAGUAGAGGUAUCUUAUACUUGUGGGUUAAGGUGGGGGGAUACAAGAGGAGGACGCAAAGGAGGCUUUGGAUUGGGAAGAAGGGCAGCAAUGAGAUAUAGCUGUAGUCCAGGAAUAGUCAGGGAAGCAGAUAAUUUAGUUAAAGUGUCUCAGCCUAAUAAGGGAACUGGGCAGGUGGGGAUAACUAAAAAGGAGUGCUUAAAAGAGUAUUUUCUGAGUUGGCACUAGAGUUGGGGAGUUUUAAGAGGUUUAGAAGCCUGGCCGUCAAUACCCACAACAGUUAUGGAGGCAAGGGAAACAGGCCCUUGAAAAGAAGGUAAUGUGGAGUGGGUAGCCUCCAUAUUGAUUAAGAAGGGGACGGGCUUACCUUUCACUGUGAGAGUUACCCAAAGCUCGGCGUUCGUGAUGGUCUAGGGGGCUUCCGAGGCGAUCGGGCAGUGUCAGUCUUCAGCCGCUAAGCCGAGAAGAUCUGGGAAGGAGUCAGUCAGAGAGCCUUGGGCCAGAGUUCCAGGGGCUCUGGGAGUGGCUGCCAGGCAUGUGGAAAAUCAACCGGAACUUCAGCUGGUGGCUUAAUGAGAUAAUUUUGAGACCUGUUUCUCCUAGACUGUAAGAGGUAGAUGAAAUCCUCCACCACAUCAGAGGACACCUCUCAGAGUAUGGAAUAUAGUACAUCCUCCAGAAUCAGCUGGGAACAAUGACUGCCAAAAGUGUCCAGAGGAAGUCUGCAGGACCUGGGUCUCUCCUAGGUGGAAUAUUCUUUGAAAUCAGCAGGGAACAGAUGUCCACAUCCUGGACUCAGGAAUUUGCGCAGAAGGAGACACUCCAAGCAGUGCUCCGACACACAAGAGGCCCCAGGAAUUCGGAGACCUGAGUAACCCCAAGGAAGCCCUGGCCGCACUCAGGCUGCUGUUUUCAGGCAAAACUAAACAACUCAUAUCAGUCCAAGCACAAAGGAUACUCUCCAAGGAUCAUGGACAUGGAGGUUUGGAUUGAUUUGCAUUCUUUUGCCAAGGAAAGCAUUAACUGGCCCUUUGGGAAGCCCACCUAGUCAAAGGCUAAAAGCUUUAUUGUGCCUGGAGGACAAUCUGCACUUCCGCUCCUUCGGGACUCACCUACUCUCGUGGUAAUUCCAUGCCAAACCACAACCUCCUAGGAAAUGGAUCUGACUCUGAGUCAGAGAUGCGUUCCAAGUCCUAGGGCUAUUGGCCCCGCCAACUUAUAUCCUCACCCCUUGACUGCCAUUUCUCUCUUUUGCCAAUACUGACACUAAUUGUAGAGUUCCCCAACUCCACGCUGCCACUUGCUUAUUUCGUUAUUAUUGCUCAACCUGUGUGACUAUUUUGGAGGACAGAGAUUCCUAGGUCUCUGUAUCUGGAUCUUUCUCUAAGCUGGCAAGUAACCUGCUUUAUCUAACCUUCCUACUGUCAGUGACCCAAGCAGUAGAAGUCACCUCCCUAAUUGUCUUCUAUGAGUUGGAAACCAAAUAAAAAGAU
rnacentral:lncRNA from 1 species